UACGUAGGGGGCAAGCGUUGUCCGGAUUUAUUGGGCGUAAAGGGCGCGUAGGCGGUUUCUUAAGUUUGGAGUGACAGUGGGUGGCUUAACUACCCAAGGCCUCUGAAAACUGGGGAACUUGAGGACCAGAGAGGGACAUAGAAUUCCGGGUGGAGUGGUGAAAUGCGUAGAUAUCCGGAGGAAUACCAAAGGCGAAGUCAGUGUCCUGGAGGGUGACUGACGCUGAGGCGCGAAAGCUAGGGGAGCGAACAGG
rnacentral:rRNA from 1 species